CAGUCGACGAUGAACCGCUUUCGGGCGGGGAUUAGUGGCGAACGGGUGAGUAACACGUGGGCAAUCUGCCCUGCACUCUGGGACAAGCCCUGGAAACGGGGUCUAAUACCGGAUAUGACUGUCCAUCGCAUGGUGGAUGGUGUAAAGCUCCGGCGGUGCAGGAUGAGCCCGCGGCCUAUCAGCUUGUUGGUGAGGUAGUGGCUCACCAAGGCGACGACGGGUAGCCGGCCUGAGAGGGCGACCGGCCACACUGGGACUGAGACACGGCCCAGACUCCUACGGGAGGCAGCAGUGGGGAAUAUUGCACAAUGGGCGAAAGCCUGAUGCAGCGACGCCGCGUGAGGGAUGACGGCCUUCGGGUUGUAAACCUCUUUCAGCAGGGAAGAAGCGAAAGUGACGGUACCUGCAGAAGAAGCGCCGGCUAACUACGUGCCAGCAGCCGCGGUAAUACGUAGGGCGCAAGCGUUGUCCGGAAUUAUUGGGCGUAAAGAGCUCGUAGGCGGCUUGUCACGUCGGUUGUGAAAGCCCGGGGCUUAACCCCGGGUCUGCAGUCGAUACGGGCAGGCUAGAGUUCGGUAGGGGAGAUCGGAAUUCCUGGUGUAGCGGUGAAAUGCGCAGAUAUCAGGAGGAACACCGGUGGCGAAGGCGGAUCUCUGGGCCGAUACUGACGCUGAGGAG
rnacentral:rRNA from 1 species